CCUAAAACGUCCGUAGCCGGUUUGGUACAUUCGUGGGUAAAUCAACCAGCUCAACUGGUUGAAUUCUGCGAGGACGGUCAGACUUGGGACCGGGAGAGGUGUGGGGUACUCUCAGGGUAGGGGUAAAAUCCUGUCAUCCUGAGAGGACCACCUGUUGCGAAGGCGCCACACUAGAACGGAUCCGACGGUCAGGGACGAAGCCUAGGGGCACGAACCGGAUUAGAUACCCGGGUAGUCCUAGGUGUAAACGCUGUGGACUUGAUGUUGGGGGUGCUCCGAGCACUCUCAGUGUCGAAGCGAAGGUGAUAAGUCCACUGCCUGGGAAGUACGGUCGCAAGGCUGAAACUUAAAGGAAUUGGCGGGGGA
rnacentral:rRNA from 1 species